UGGGGGAGCAAACCGGAUUAGAUACCCGGGUAGUCCCAGCUGUAAACUAUGCAAACUCAGUGAUGCACUGGCUUGUGGCCAGUGCAGUGUUGCAGGGAAGCCGUUAAGUUUGCCGCCUGGGAAGUACGUACGCAAGUAUGAAACUUAAAGGAAUUGGCGGGGGAGCACCACAAGGGGUGAAGCCUGCGGUUCAAUUGGAGUCAACGCCAGAAAUCUUACCCGGAGAGACAGCAGAAUGAAGGUCAAGCUGAAGACUUUACCAGACAAGCUGAGAGGUGGUGCAUGGCCGUCGCCAGCUCGUGCCGUGAGAUGUCCUGUUAAGUCAGGUAACGAGCGAGAUCCCUGCCUCUAGUUGCCACCAUUACUCUCAGGAGUAGUGGGGCGAAUUAGCGGGACCGCCGCAGUUAAUGCGGAGGAAGGAAGGGGCCACGGCAGGUCAGUAUGCCCCGAAACUCUGGGGCCACACGCGGGCUGCAAUGGUAACGACAAUGUGUUCCAAAUCCGAAAGGAAGAGGUAAUCCUCAAACGUUACCACAGUUAUGACUGAGGGCUGCAACUCGCCCUCACGAAUAUGGAAUCCCUAGUAACUGCGUGUCAUUAUCGCGCGGUGAAUACGUCCCUGCUCCUUGCACACACCGCCCGU
rnacentral:rRNA from 1 species